GGAGACCACGGUCCCAUCCACCCCUCCCUUGCCAAAAGCCCUGAUGCCAGCUCUUCCUCUGGGUAGGCACUCGGCUGCUGGGGAGAGAGACCGACUGUCUCUAUUCUCUGAAACUCCUGCUGUGGUUGGGGAUCUGUCAGGUUGGUGUAGAGACCUCGGUCUCAUCUAUACCAUCUGCUCCAAUUGUCCUGUUUCCUGAUAACAGGCAUUGCCGCUGAGGAGAGGAAAGGGUUGUCUCCUCUCCCUUUAAACCAUACUGCCGCUGGGAAGUCGGAAGACUGUCUUGACUCCCAGUGCUGCUGCUGGGGAGAGAGACCGGUUAUCUCUUCUCCCUUUAAAUUCUGCUGCCACUGGAAUCACACCGACUGCCUCUACACCCGGUAACGCUGCCUGGUGCUGGGUAGUGGGACCGACCGUCUCCACUCCCAGGGAUGCUUGCUACUGCUGGGAUGAGGGACCGACAAUCUCCUCUCCCUGUGACGCUGCUUGGUGCUGGGGAGUGAGACCGACUAUCUCUACUCCCAGGGAUGCUUGCUGCUGAACUGCAUUUCGUAGGUUCUGGUAUUCCAACUCCAGUUCCCAUUCUAUAGCUAACAGGUGAUAUCUGGUCCCAGGCCUGUAGCAUUAGGGAGCUUCAGUGCGUCCAUACGGUAUUCCCGGAUGCCCCAAUACCGAGAUUCCUCUGUGCUGCCGAAGUUACUGUCCUCCUCUAAAGCCUCCCAUAGAAGACCAGGGCCAUUGUAGUCAUCCCCCUCUGGUCUCUCAUUCUCCGCCAUCCACGGGCAUCUCUGAACCGAGUACCACCGUACUGCCCAGUAUGCCUCAUCCAGCCACAGUUCCUUCUUGAUCAGCCACUGGAAUUCUAUAAUCUGCUCUUCCUGGGGUAGAUACUCCAGUAAAGGCAGCCUCAGCACUGUUUGCUUCUGCCUGCGCCGUUCUGAACUGGGAAGACUCUCUCCCCCUUAAGCUUGAGACUGCUCCAGGGCAUGGUGCCAGAGAUCUCGCUGUACACUUUCUUUCCUUGCCAGCUUAUCUUCUGAAGAAAAAGGGCCAUACUCUGUUGCCAAUGCGCCCUGUAGUCACCUUUGGAACUCCUUCUUAUAUGGGGACGCUGCCCGGGGUCUAGCUCACUCCAUCUCCAGAGUUCCUCUAUAGACAGGGACACUGCUGGACCCUUCACUGCACUUCUUGGUUUGGGAUAUCCAUUUGGGAGAAAAAUCUCGCUACUUGCCACCAAUGUAAGGGAUCCCAGUACUCCAACUGAGUACAUCUCCCAAGCGCUGUAGUGAUUAUAAGUGUGAAUAUAGCUCCCAUUCCCCUAAACAUGAGCCUAGACUUCAUGAAGGGUUAAAUAUAUAUUUCAGAGUCGCAGCAAACACGCCAAGGUACAAACUUAAUUAUCUCCAGGCACAGAAAACACACAAUUUAUAAAACACCCCAAAAUACACAUAAAAUACACAAACACCCCACAGAAGUUACAUCCCCUGAUUGCCCCGAUCUGGGUGACCAACAUAUCCAAAAAUUACCCAGAUCGGUUCAGGGGUUCGAGAUUUCCAUGGAAGUCAAUUAUUUAACCGACCGUGCACAUGGUCCUGUUGUAGAAUUAUAGAAUUCUUGAAAUUAUCUAAGCUAAUGCUUUGGCAGGAAGAAAUGUGCUGAAUAAUAAAAUGUGUAUUUACUAAAAGAACCUUG